UACGGGGGGGGCAAGCGUUGUUCGGAAUUACUGGGCGUAAAGGGCUCGUAGGCGGACAACUAAGUCAGACGUGAAAUCCCUCGGCUUAACCGGGGAACUGCGUCUGAUACUGGAUGGCUUGAGUUCGGGAGAGGGAUGCGGAAUUCCAGGUGUAGCGGUGAAAUGCGUAGAUAUCUGGAGGAACACCGGUGGCGAAGGCGGCAUCCUGGACCGACACUGACGCUGAGGAGCGAAAGCCAGGGGAGCAAACGGG
rnacentral:rRNA from 1 species